rnacentral:misc_RNA from 1 species
CGAGCAUCGUGAUGGAUCUGCAUAGAUUUAACGUCCGGCGCCGUUGAUUUGCAGUAGGGACACUCAAACUUCGCGUGACCUCCUUUAUCUUUUCCAGUUCUGUCUAUCAGCCCAGCCUUCCCUCCGCCUCUGUUCGUCGUCGCUGCGUCCACCUUCCCCGCGAUCUCCUUCGCCGUAUGCUUCUUUGGCUUUGCCUUUCC